UUUUUUGUUUUUUUUUUGGUUUUUUUUUGAGACAGAUUUCUAUUCUGUCGUGCAGCCUGGAGUGCAGUGAUGCAAUCUCAGCUCACUGCAACCUCCGACUCUCAGAUUCAAGCGAUUCUCCUGCCUCAGCCUCCCAAGUAACUGGGAUUACAGGCACGUGCCACCACGCUUGGCUAAUUUUUGUAUUUUUAGUAGACAUGGGGUUUCGCUAUGUUGGUCAGGCUGAUCUUGAACUCCUGACCUCAAGUGAUCCACCCACCUCGGCCUCCCAAAGUGCUGGGAUUACAAGUGUGAGUCACCACGCCCGGCCAAAAGAAGUUUAAUAAAAGGAGAAUUCACCUUUUAUUUAUAAGUCAGUGACUGGGUGCGGUGGCUUAUGCCUGUAAUCCCAGCACUUUGGAAGGCCAAGGAGGGCGGAUCAUUUGAGGUCAGGGGUUCGGGACCAGCCUGACCAACAUAGUGAAACCCUGUGUCUACUAAAAAUACAAAAAUUAGCAGGGCAUGGUGGUGCAUGCCUGUCAUCCUGGCAACUCAGGAGGCUGAGGCCAGAGAAUUGCUUGAACCUGGGAGGUGGAGGUUGCAGUGAGCCAAGAUCGCGCCAUUGCACGCCAGCGUGGGCAGCAAAAAUGAAACUCCAUCUCCAAACAAAUAAUAAGUCAAAUAAGUAGAACAUUCCACUAUAGCGUGAGCACGGUGACAAAAAUAAGUGUGCCUGAUGCACAUACCCUGCUGUUCAUUUGCCUUCGGGUUCUGUACCCCUUUCUCUACCCUUCCCCAGUCUGUUCUGGGUCUUGGGAAGAAAAUAUUUCCCAGGCUCCCUUUCCAACCCGCUUCAUGCUGGGCUCAGCUGACAGGAGAGCCCCAGGUGAGAGGAGGGGAGACGCCAGGGUGUUUGUGUAUGUGCACACACAUGCACUCCUACAUACACUCUGAUAUAGGUUGGCUGUGUCCUCACCCAAGUCUCAUCUUGAAUUCCCACAUGUUGUGGGAGGGACCCGGUGGGAGGUGAUUGAAUCAUGGGGGCAGGUCUUUCCUAUGCUGUUCUCAUGAUAGUGAGUAAGUCUCGUGAGGUCGUGAUGGUCAUUAUAAGCGGCGGGGACCAGGGCGGGGGUGGUCCUGCACUAGCUCUUUUUGCUUGCUGGCAUCCAUGUAAGAUGUGACUUGCAUUUCCUUGCCUUCCACCAUGAUUGUGAGGGUUCCCCAGCCACGUGGAACUGUAAGUCCAAUUAAACCUCUUUCUUUGUAAAUUGUCCAACCUCGGGUAUGUCUUUAUCAACAGUGUGAAAACAGACUAAUACACACUCCCUUUGUGACCUGAGCUCCAGCCAAAGGACUGCAGCCCAGGGCUCCAGCAAUCCCACCUCCUGCCUCUGCUGCUCACGUCCUGGUGGGGUAACAGCCCCCUGCUCUGUGCCUCAGUGUCCUCUGAGUGGCUUUUCUGUUCCUCUAUCACCUAUGUGACCAAUACCCUAAAUUAAUCACCUGUCUCAAAUACCCAGAGUGGUUUCCAUCUUUCAGGCAGAGGGUGUUUUUUAUUUUUCUUUUGAAAUAAUUAUAGAUUUGCAAGACAUUGCAAAGAGAGGAAGAGAGGUCCCAGGCACCCUUCCCCCAGCUUCCCCCAGUGAUCUUAUGUGACUAUAAUACAAUAUGGAAGCCAGGACAUUGAUGUGGGUACAAUGUGUGUCCUUAGUUCCGUGUCAUUUUAUCACAUGCAUGGAUUCCUGUAAGCACCACCACUGUCAAGACACAGCAGUAUGACCCCCACAAAGCCCUCCCUCGGCUGCCCUGUGGUGGCCAGACCCACACCCCCGCCCAGCCCAGCAACUGUAAGUCUGAGCGUCAUCCUUAUGGGUUUGUCAAUUCAAGGUCAUAUACAUGGAGUCACACAGUAGGUGACGUUCUGAGGUUGGUUUUUCCCUUCAGUGUGAUAUGUUUGCAGUGCAGUCCCCUUGCUGGGCC
rnacentral:lncRNA from 1 species